UCCCUGGUGACCGAUAGCGGAUAGUACCGUGAGGGAAUGGUGAAAAGUACCGCGGGAGCGGAGUGAAAUAGUACCUGAAACCGUGUGCCUACAAGCCGUGGGAGCGUCGCUGUAUGUGCUUGCACAUACAGUCGUGACUGCGUGCCUUUUGAAGAAUGAGCCUGCGAGUUAGCGGUGUGUAGCGAGGUUAACCCGUGUGGGGAAGCCGUAGCGAAAGCGAGUCCGAAUAGGGCGAUUGAGUUGCACGCUCUAGACCC
rnacentral:rRNA from 1 species